GAACAUGGUGGUGUGGGCAUUUGUGCAAAAGGUCCCUGAAGCGCUCCCAUGUCUCGAAAAACCUUUCCCCGUCCAAUUGUGAGAAACUAGUGAUGUUGACUUUAUAGGCC